AUCGCUCAGGAGUAGGUAAAACUCCACAGCGAUCGAAUCUUGAGGGCUGGAAGGGACAAUUUAAAAAAGUAUCAUUGUGGUGAACUAUGUGCCUGUCUGGACACGCCCCUCUGCUGACUGCUCCUGUGGCUCCUCCCACAGGCCCCUGUAUAAAGGAGAUCUGAGGCCUGACGCUCAGGACAUAAUAUGAUGGACACUCACUCCUGGUUCCUUCUUCCAGUCAAUAAAAGCCGAUAUCUCGCCUUACGUCUCAGUAAGCUACAGAAUGUAACAUUCAGCUCUGCAGCGGGUUGGGCAGAGCUUCGUCUUCUCAGCUUGGGCACCAGCAUCCUCACGGGAAGGUUUGCUCGUUUAAAAGUGUCAAGGAGACUAACGAGAACUUUCUUAUUGUGGCUUCUUUCCUCGUCCUCUCCAGUCCUGAUGAAGUAUCUCGGUGCAAAACGUCGACUGCUUAUUCCACUCCAUAGAUGUGGACUGACCUGCUGAGUUCCUCCAGCAUUUCGUUUUUAGGACAUACGUGAAGAUCGGAUCAUAUUUUGGGUCAUAUUUUAUGCAGAAAUAGAGAAAGUUCUACAGGGUUCACAAACUUUCUACAAACCACUGUAGCCUCCUCCCUGAUGGAAGUGGAACAAACAAUCCAUAAGCAGGGUAGGUGAGAUCCUACAUGACGUUACCUUUCUGUAUACAUGUCUUUGAUAGUGGGUAGGCUGGUGCCCAUUAUGUGUUGGGUAGUUUUGACCACCCGUUGUAGACCCUUCCUGUCCUCUGCAGUGCAGUUCUUGUACCAUGAAGUGAUGCAGCAACUUGGGAUGCCCUCUUCUGCACAUCUGUAGAAUGACAUGAGUAUACAGCAGACAUGCAAAGACAAGUUGUCUUCAGCCUCCUCAGAAAAUAGGUCUUUCCUAAUUGUGUAGGAUGUUUUCAGUGUCCAACUACAACAAGAAUGUCCUGACCUCACUGGGGUAUGAGGCUCACUGGCUAUCCUCACCUCGUUUUGCUCACCCGUCAAAAUGGCGUACAGAGGUGCAGCCUCUUUCAUCUUUGAACAGCUACUUGGAGCCACAGGUGAGAACUGAGUGUCUGAUGGGGACCAAAGGUGAGUGGCUGCUCUGGAAUGGAUACACAAGCCUCUUUACCAGAGGUGCUAGAUACCACGUACACCCUAGAAGAGGUAUAUAUCCUUACAGACAAAAAGACCUGUGUACAUGUGUGGAUGUGAUAUCAUGUACUGAGAUAUCAUGUGAUGUGAUAGAACAGGACCACCACAGGGAUAUGUGCUUAGCCCCCUGCUCUACUCGAUUUACA